UGUCUGCAAAAGACGUCUAGCUAAAAGGUGCGAUUAAAAACCCCUAUAUAAGCACUGGGAUCCCUAAACCCAGUAUCACAAGCUCUCAGCCUGAGUCCUCCAUCUCUCUUGGCAACUCAGGUGCACCCCAGUUGGCUAAACAAGAUGACUCACCGUCUUCUGAGAAGCAUCGUCAGUAUCAUUGAUGCUUUCCUCUCUGAUGCAAAGAGUGAUGGAGAUGGUCAGAGGCUGAAUAAGACAGGACUUAAGAAACUUCUCCAAGAAGAGUUUGGAAAUGCUCUGGAGG